rnacentral:rRNA from 1 species
UGCCAGCAGCCGCGGUAAUACGGAGGAUGCAAGCGUUAUCCGGAAUCACUGGGUUUAAAGGGUGCGUAGGCGGAUUAACAAGUCAGAGGUGAAAGCUCUCAGCUUAACUGAGGAACUGCCUUUGAAACUGUUAGUCUUGAAAUUAGAUGAGGUUGGCGGAAUGAGUCAUGUAGCGGUGAAAUGCAUAGAUAUGACUUAGAACACCGAUUGCGAAGGCAGCUGACUGGUCUACAUUUGACGCUGAGGCACGAAAGCGUGGGGAGCGAACAGGAUUAGAUA